UACGUAGGGGGGCAAGCGUUGUCCGGAUUUAUUGGGCGUAAAGAGCGUGUAGGCGGUCAGGUAGGUCCGUUGUGAAAACUCGAGGCUCAACCUCGAGACGCCGAUGGAAACCAUCUGACUAGAGUCCGGAAGAGGAGAAUGGAAUUCCUGGUGUAGCGGUGAAAUGCGCAGAUAUCAGGGAAGAACACCCCGUGGCGAAGGCGGGUUCUCUGGGGACGGUACUGACGCUGAGACGCGAAAGCGUGGGGGGAGCGAACAGG
rnacentral:rRNA from 1 species